UGCUGGGAUUACAGGCGUGAGCCACUGUGCCCAACCAGGUGUUCUUAAAUAUAAUUUUUUAUCUCCUUUCCUACCAAGAGGGGUUUUUAGAACUGUUUGCUUGGCAGGUGAAGAAUCUGCACGUUGUGGUUCUUUAUUACUGAAUGAGAAAAUACCAGACUUUACCUUAGCUUUAUUUGUUCCCCAGUUCAACGGAAUUUAACCUUAGAAUUUCCUAAAGAUGCUUUCUAAAAGUUUUUUAUUUCUCUAAGUGUCAUAGUACUGCAUUUAUGAAUCCCAAAUUGGCUUCCACUGUCUAUUUAAACUUGAUAUAAGAUACAGGAAGAUUAUUUUGUCACCACCCUCUUUCUAUUCCAAACACUAUUUACAUGAAGGAAACUUUAGUAAGAGAAGAUAUUUUGGAAAAGAUUUUGUAACCAACUUACACUUGUGUCUGUUUUUGUUUUUUUUGGUUUAAAUUCAAGGGGAGGCCAAGCGUGAUGGCUCAUGCCUGUAAUCCUAACACUUCGGGAGGCCAACACGGGUGGACCGCUUGAGCUCCGGAGUUCCAGAGGAGCCUGGGCAACAUGGUGAAACCCUGUCUCUACCAAAAAUACAAAAACAUUGCCCAGAUGUGGUGGCAUGCACCUGUGGUCCCAGCUAUUUGAGAAGCUAAGGUUGUAAAAGAAAAUCAACACUUAAGAUUUUACUAAGAGAUCAUUCAACUUCAAAUCUGAAGCACAAGAAGUCAGCAAAAUUAAAUGGCUAUCAUUGAUUUGAGAAUGGAUUUUCACUUACAUUUUAAAUUAAAUUGCUAACACUACAAAGUGUUUAAGGAAAACAUGAACAUUUCUGUUUUACUUCAGUUGUGAAGAGACUCUAAUUUCCAUCUCUGUUUAGAAAUUCCUAAAUGUGCAAAUAUAGGUUCUUUGCAAGCAGAACCACCAAGUAGUCCUUGGCACACAGAAUUUAUAAACCUAAAGAGAAUAUUGAAUGGAAAACUUAGAGAACAGUUGGAAUGGGAGAUACCAUUAUCCCAAGUCCAAUGGUUGGUUACCAAAUAGCUUUUCGAUUCUCUCCAAAUUAAGCUCACACCAACAGUUUUGUAUUGUGAGGCAGCUGGUUCUGUUGCUUUUCCUCCCCUGCUCUGCUCCUUCUCUGUCCUUCUGUAGCUGCAAGCCUCAGGGGUUGACCCACGCAGGCUGUGCUCACUGAUGUCCUUCUCUUGCUUUUGGUUGGAUUUCGUCAGCAGGUGAAGCCCAGGGAGCAAAAAGAGGGAGUUGCCAGAUUAUUUCUACCUCCACGCCCUCCCUGCCUGUCAAGGACUGAGUCCCAGGAAGAUGCCAGCUCCAGUGCUUUCCCGCUCUUGCCGUCUCAGGCCACUCUGGCUGGCCGCUGGGUCCCUCAACAUCCCCUGUUGGUUCCUUUAGCCCAGCCUACACCGCUGGAAAUAGGCCCUUUAUGAGAUUCUCUUCUAAAUCCUAGAAGAGUGUACCCUCCAUUUCCUGAAGAAUCCUGACAAGUAUGUAAACAUUACUUAAUAAUUGUUAGGUAAAAAUACUAUAAAUAUUAAAUUUAUAAGUAAAUAAAAAUAUUUAAUUUUACAUAAGACAAAGCUAAAAAUUUCAGUUUAUAAUUUUUAAACAUAGACAAUAAAUUUCCCAGAAAGAAAUUGCUGACUACCAACCAAAUUUUCAUUUUUAUUUUUUAAAUGUUGGAAAAAUUUUGUCAGAAAGAUUCUUAUCAACCAAUCAAAUUGUGUUAGCAGUUGUGUUAGUAGUCACAAGGAAAAUAAUCAGUCAUAUUAGUUUUCUUACUAUUGUUCAUAUUUUGUCUUUCAAAAAUAGGUGUAAUGUACAAAUACUUCUUAAUUAGAUAUGCUUAAAUAAAACAUUUCAUAUUGUAUUGAUUUGGGUAUAUUGUAGAAAAUAAAAAGUUCCUCUUCAAAGCUUCCCUUCUUGUUAAAGAAUAAAUCAUAAGUGUUAGAAUUAACAGUUUCUUUUAAAGACUAACUUUAUGCUAGACAUGCUCACAGACACGUAGUACAUUCUAUGUCCUCGUACUUUAACCAAGAUAUCUGUGCUAGACGUGCACACAGGCAUGUCUCAGCUCGCAGCCUAUGCCCUUUCCUUAUUUGGGAAUGUUUAUUCCUUAUUUGGAAAUGUUAUUACUUUUCUAAGUCCUUUCGUAAGCAACUUCAUUUUUUUUCCUUUGUUUUUCUAUUGCCUUUACCUGUUUAAAAAAGUUUUAAACUGUUAGCCAAUCGGGUUUUAGUUUAGAUUGUGAGGUCUGGCUCCAGCCAAUGGAGACAGGACACAGUAGCAGGGACAAACUGGGUAAGGGAUAAAAAUUGCUUCGCUCCAUUGUUCCGGGGUGCUCUCGCCAUUGUUCCAACUGCCAUAAACACCCUUUCUGCAGAAAGCAAAAAUGGCCUUGCUGAGAGAAUUAAAUUUAUGUUCGAGUGCUAUUUCUUUGUGGCACUGGGGAACAAGCAUUCUAUUUCUAAAUAAACAUUUUUACGUAUAACAGUACUGAAUAUAACCAUGGACUGUUUGCAAAUUAUAUUGGAAUCAUGUAGACACAGCUUUAAUAAUGGAUAAUAUAAUUAUUACUUUUUCUAGCCAAAAAUCAGGAGCAGACUAUGUAUACAAGUCUGGAAUGGAGGACUUUCCAUUCUAGAAGAAAGAGUGGCCAUUUUCAACUCUUCUUCCUUUUGAGACCUCACUAAAAUUAGAGGAACAGAAUUUAAAAAUACAUUACAUCUCCAUGAUAAAGAGAACAGGAAAGGAAAUAUCAACAGACAAGGGGAUUUGACAGAUAUUUUUGGAGGGAAGAAACGGUGGAGCAGAGGUAAUUAAGCCGAUUGGAGAGAGGCUGUCCUGCAGACCGAGUGAGACAAGGUCCUGGCACUGGAGAGGCUGCUGCCUGGAUCCCUCCCCCAACACAAGAAAUCAGGAAAUCACCACUCCUCUUGCCCCAGGCCAGAGACUAGGUUUCUGUAGACAUGGAAGGUAGAGGCUGCGGACCUGGACCCCAGACACAGGUGAGAGGAGAGGCUUUGCGCUAAAGAGAGAGAGAGAGAGAAAAGGAGGUGGGGAAGAAGAAAGGAAAGAAAGGAGGAAGAGAGAAGGCCAGGCGCGGUGGCUCACGUCUGUAAUCCCAGCACUUUGGGAGGCCGAGGCGGGCGGAUCACGAGGUCAGGAGAUCGAGACCAUCCUGGCUAACACGGUGAAACCCCGUCUCUACUAAAAACACAAAAAAUUAGCCGGGCGUGGUCGCGGGCGCCUGUAGUCCCAGCUACUCGGGAGGCUGAGGCAGGAGAACGGCGUGAACCCGGGAGGCAGAGCUUGCAGUGAGCCAAGAUCGGGCCACUGCACUCCACCCUGGGUGACAGAGCGAAACAACGUCUCAGAAAAAAAGAAAGAAAGAAAGGAGGAAGAGAGAAAAGGAGCGUGGAAAGAAAAGAAAAUUUCAGGAGCUUCUACAUUGGUUAUGCCAGCAGAAACAGUUAAGCCAUGGAAACUGAGUCACAUACACGCUGUUUUUCUUCUCUGGUGCAUGACCUUUGCUUCUGACCUUUGUGUUGAGAUGUUAUGAAUUAACCACCCUUCCUAUUCUUCAUUCAAACCUCAACUAAAUGACAUUGGAGAUAGAGACCCUUACCUCUUUACGAUGGAUGUUAAGUAACUCCCAUAGAGUAUAGUCAAUGGUGGCCAGCCAACUUGUGUGUGUGUGUUUUAUAUCUUAUAUUUAAAAAAUGAAAAAAAUGUUGUAAUUCUGGCCAGAUACGUGGCUCACAACUGCAAUCCCAGCACUUUGGGAGGCCAAGGUAGGCGGAUCACUUGAGGCCAGAAGUUCGAGACCAGCCUGGCCAACAGGGUAAAACUCUGUGUCUACUAAAAAUACAAAAAAUUAGCCAGGCGGGCAUGGUGGCGCACGCCUGUUAUCCCAGCUGCUCGGAUGACUGAGGCUUGAGAAUCCCUUGAACCUGGGAGGUGGAGUUUGCAGUGAGCCAAGAUCAUGCCACUGCCCUCCAGCCUGAGCAACAAAGCAAGACUUUGUCUCCGAAAAAAAAAGAGCAUGUUGUAAUUCUGUUCAGCACCCCUGUUUUUUGCUUAUAUGAAUGAUCUUCACCUUUCCCCGCACUGAGGAGUGAUGAUCACCAUUCUUUGGUGUCUGCUACCCUAACACUUGGCGCUUGAAUAAACUCUUUUAAGUGGAGCCUGAGCCUUUUGAUUAUUUUAGGUUGACAGGAGGAAGGGAGGAAGGGUGGGUUAAAAUUAAAUCUGCAUACUAAGCAAUAAUAUCCUUGCUGCUCUUCUUCAACUGUUUGUAGGUUAUUUCUGCUCUCAGGCUUCUGUUCUACCCCUAACUCUCCUGGCUACCCAAAGGCCGGAGGUUAUCUACUGGGGAAAUCUCAAAAGACUGUAGAAAAAAUGUCUCAAAUUCUGGUUUUGGGAGUCUUCCAAAAAAAAAUUUUUUUUAAUUUGGCUUGCCUCUUGAAUAUCCUAUAGAGAAGUCCCAAACUGACAAACCUGGGCUGUCCUCCCAGAUGCUCUACUGAGCUGUCAGUCUCUCCCUCUGGAAUGGGAAUAGAGCACCAAGCAUAACCUGUUAUUUGAAGAAAGGCUGCUACACUACACACGGACCCAAAUGAACAAAUAUCAGGAGAACAGAAGUUAGGGGAAACAGAAGUGAUGAAGAGAACAGAAUAAAAGUUUUAUUUUAAAAUUAUUAUUAUUAUUAUUAUUAUUAUUAUUAUUUGAGACCAAGUCUCACUGUGUCGCCCAGGCUGGAGUGCAAUGGCAUGAUCUUGGCUCACUGCAAACUCUGCCUUCUGGGUUCAAGCAAUUCUUGUGCCUCAGCCUCCCAAGUAGCUGGGAUUACAGUUACCCGCCACCAAGCCCAGCUAAUUUUUGUAUUUUUAGUAGAGAUGGGGUUUCACCAUGUUGGCCAGACUGGUCUCAAACUCCUGACCUCAAGUAAUCCACCUGCCUCAGCAUCCCAAAGCACUAGGAUUACAGGCAUGAGCCACCGCACCUGGCCAGAAUAAAACUUUUAAUAUCUUUUAUUAACACCGCACCCAGCCAGAAUAAAACUUCUAAAAUCUUUUAUUACUAUCAUCAGAUAAAAUAAGACAUUACAUUCAUGAAACAGAACAGGUAUUAGAAUAUAAGAGAGAAGAAAAUCCUCAAACAAAAUUGUGGCAGCUGAACUAAAAACAUCAAAUAAGGAUUGGAGUGUAAUAUUAAAGAAAUUUCCCAGGAAGCAGAACAAAAAGAAAGUAAAAUAGAAAAGGAUAAUAGAGCAAGUGCAAUUAAUUCAGAGAAUCAAUCCAGAAGGCCCUGAUACCUGACUGAAUAGGGUUCCAGAAAGAGGAACAGAGAAAAAGGAUGUGAAGAGUUGCAUUGAUAAUAGUACUACUAACACUAUUUUUUGUUCUUUGUCUUCAAGAAAACCUCUCAGAGUUGCAGUGUAUGAGUCUCUGGAUUGAAAGGGCUCAAUAGAUGCCCAGCAUAACGAUGAAGAGGACCCACAUCUAGACAUAUAUUGGCCUGAAAUUUUCAUGUAUUUGGGAUCAAGAGAAAAUCCUGAAAGCUUGUAAAUUAAUGCUGUUCAAUAUGGUGGUCAUUAGCCACGGCUGACUGUUCAGCACUGGAGAUGUGGCCACUCUGAAUGGAGAUGUGCUGUGGCUCCUGGAAAAUUUUAGAUGACAUAGACGGUUUCUGUUCUGUGUCUGUUAGACGGUGCUCUGCAGAGAAGCAGACAGGUCAUGCAUAAGGACACUGAGGCCAGAAUGAUAUCUGACCUUCAGCAGCAGCUCUAGGAAACUGAAGAAAAAUGAUCCCCCUAUUCAGAGAGAAAUAGUUUUCAACCUUAGUAGUCUACAUUCUGGCAAACUUUCAGUCAACUGAAAGACAGUUAGAGACAUGCAAGCACACAAAAGUUUACCUUCUUUGCUGUCUCCUUGAACGUUCCUGAAGGAAGUACCCCAGGAAAUAAACUUGUAAACCAAUGGCAUGGAAGGCAUGGGAUUUAAAAGCAGGAUGUCCAGUAUAGGACUCGGAGCAAGUUGUGCAGCAGGUCCAGGAAGCAGACAAGCCCGUGCAGAACAGGAAGUCAGGGGGCUCAGUGGGAAGUCAUGGCACCAGUGGAUUUGCUGACAUAGGGAGUCUUCUGGCUCAUUGGAAGACACGUAUGUAGACAACAAAGUUAUUUUUUGAGAGGUGAUAAUUUAAGAAAAAAGUUGUACUCUUCCUGGCUCAUGUGAACAGUAUCUAUAUGACACAAAUAAUAAUGUGAACUCAAAGACUGUGUGGUAUGCUUACACCAGGGGAAUGGGGGAGGGAGAGCAAAGUGCACUUGAGUUAGAUAACAUCUGUCAAGACAGGGAGAAAAAAGAUAAUGUCUAAAAUAAAUAACAGCACAUGCAUACUCCUUAGGAAUUGGAAGGUAAAUGGCAGAAGAAAUGGCUUAACAAUUUGUACGUGGUUUCUUGUGACUUCUUAUGACUGUAUAAGACCAGGGAGCAAUAGGGAGGGGAGGCACAAGGGAUGCUAUUUUGUUUCUAUUACUAUUUGAUUUUGUAAAACUAUACACAUCAAUUAAAAUGAUAAAUAUUAUAGUUACA